rnacentral:lncRNA from 1 species
AAAAAAUCAUUUCAAAUAAUAAUAAUAUAAAUUAUUCAAACUAAUGAUUUAGUUAAAACUUUACAGUAAUUAAAAUAUGCAAAAUAAACAAAACUAUUAAUUACAAUUAUUGAGAGCAUGACAAAUGAGAGCAUAACAAAUAAGCAAACUUACCUAAAAUCAUGGAGAACGUAACAACUAGAUUAAUUCACUUUUCAAAUAAUCUAAUCUAUUAAAAUAGAAUUUUUUUUAUCUACCAUAAACAAGUCUAAGUAGGACCAUUUAUUUAAUAGCCUAACAAAUAUAAAAUUGAUAGUAUCUAUAUAAAUUAAUCUAUUCUACACUAAAUCUUCCAUAACAACCAACCUCUUAUAAUCAUCUAACCAUCCCACGAUUACUUCAAAAAAUACAGCAGUGUUCAUAAUAUGUUUAAACUAUAUUUUUAAUAAACACUACAUACUUGCCAACCAUUUAUACAUUUUACAUUCAUAUACAAGUUUCUCAUCAACAAAACUAAUAAGACUACAAUUUAAUAUCUGUAGGCAAGUUAUUCAUCAACAAUGUUACCCAAAAAUCAUCAUUUUCUUAAGAGUCAAAGGUAUAAGACUCUUGAC